UUUCCGCAGGUGAACCUGCGGAAGGAUCAUUAUUGUAUAACCGAGGUGCGAGGGCUGUCGCUGACCCGAAAGGUCAUGCACGCCCGAGUGCCCUCACACACAUCCAUCUCACCCCUAUGUGCACCACCGCGUGGGUCCCCCUUUGGCUUGUUCGGAGGGGGGCUUACGUUUUCACACAAACUUUGUAUGCAGUGUAGAAUGUAUUUUUUGUUUUUGCGAUCACGCAAUCAAUACAACUUUCAACAACGGAUCUCUUGGCUCUC
rnacentral:misc_RNA from 1 species